GUAUGUAGUUCAGUGGUAGAGUGCUUGCCUAGCAUGUGUGAGGCACUGGGUUCCAUCCUCAGCACCACA
rnacentral:tRNA from 1 species